rnacentral:rRNA from 1 species
UACGAAGGGUGCAAGCGUUAUUCGGAAUCAUUGGGCGUAAAGGGUGUGUAGACGGUAUGUUAAGUCUGUUGUUAAAUGCUCCAGCUCAACUGGAGAUCUGCGGUGGAAACUAACAUGCUAGAGGGUGGAAGAGAGAAGUGGAAUUCUCGGAGUAGCGGUAAAAUGCGUAGAUCUCGAGAGGAACACCAAUGGCGAAGGCAGCUUCUUAGUCCAUACCUGACGUUGAAACACGAAAGCGUGGGGAGCAAACAGG